UGGCGCAGCUGGAGGACUAGGUGUAAUACGGUCCCAGAAAAACUACAGGAUGGACUAACCCUGCUUAUUCCUGUGAAUCAAGAGGUGAUCUUCUGCAGCUUGGAAAAAAAAAAGCGAUGGAUGGAGUUUCACUCUUAUCACCCAGGCUGGAGUGCAAUAGCGCAAUCUUGGCUCACUGCAACCUCUGCCUCCUGGGUUCAAGCGAUUCUCCUGGCUGGCCCAGAGUGGUGGCAGUGGAGGCAGGGAGAAGUGUUCACAUUCUGGGUACCUUUGAAGGCCAGCUGCUACCCACCUCCUCGGCUCUGCAAGACACUCCCAGACCUGCCUGUGUCCUAUUCGUCUCCCCUCUGCAGACAGAGGCUCUCCUCAAGACUUUGUUCUGCAAAACCCCCACCACUACCCCUAAGAAGGCAAAAGGGCAACUGAGGCAUGAAGCAGGGGGCACGCACGGGGGAGUCCCACAUUCCUGAUCUGACUCCCCAGGCAUAUUGUGCUGCUUCUGGGGAGCUUGCCACGGCCUGCCUCCUCCCGGGUUUGGGCCCUUGUUUAUAUCUGUUCACCUGUGCUUUCCCCUUCCCUGCAGAACAGCGAUCAGAACCUGUUCAUAUCUGGGACCCCACAGUCCUUACCUAGGGCAGCUAGGUGUUCCCUGGCUGAAUGAAGGGAUGUGGAGUUUCCUGCUGGGUGGUGGGUAGGACAGGCUUGGAAGACAGGGGUGGAAUUAAGUAAGGAAGCUCCAGAAGGACACAGGGCCAUAGAUACUCUCCCACCCAACUCCAGGCCACAUCAGGAACACCUGCUAACAUUUCCUGAACACUCUUUUUGAGCCAGGCCCUGUGUAUUUUAGAUGCGGUUUCAUUUGAUCUUCACAGGAGCCCUAUGAGGUAGGCAUCCCCAACCCCACUUUAUAGAUGCAAACAACUAAGGCACAGAGAAGUUAUUUGUUCAAGGUCACAUGGCUACUAAGCAACAAAACUAGGAUGCAAAAGCAGAUUUGUUCGACCCCACAUGCUGUGUGCUUUGCUACAAUCCACACUGUCUCCCAGGCCCCACAGAGCCCCAAAUGCAUGUGUCUCACCAGUUUCACCUGUGGCCACUGUGCUCAGCUAUCCUCAUCCUAAGACAAUUGUAGUUAUGGUUAAGGAAAGCCUUUUAUUAAAUUGCCAAACACCAGGG
rnacentral:lncRNA from 1 species